UUCCCGGGCCUUGUACACACCGCCCGUCAAGCCACGAAAGUCGGCAGUACCCGAAGUCGCUAUCUUCAUAGAGGCGCCUAAGGUAAGGCUGGCGAUUGGGGCU
rnacentral:rRNA from 1 species